rnacentral:rRNA from 1 species
GAGUUUGAUCCUGGCUCAGAUUGAACGCUGGCGGCAGGCCUAAGACAUGCGAGUCGAACGGUAACGACACUAGCUUGCUAGUGGUCGACGAGUGGCGGACGGGUGAGUAACGCGUAGGAAUCUACCUAGUAGUGGGGGAUAGCCAAGGGAAACUUUGGGUAAUACCGCAUACGAUCUAAGGAUGAAAGGGGGCCUCUCUUUGAAGCUCUCGCUAUUAGAUGAGCCUGCGUAAGAUUAGCUUGUUGGUGGGGUAAUGGCCCACCAAGGCGACGAUCUUUAGCUGGUCUGAGAGGAUGAUCAGUCACACUGGAACUGAGACACGGUCCAGACUCCUACGGGAGGCAGCAGUCGGGAAUAUUGGACAAUGGGGGAAACCCUGAUCCAGCCAUGCCGCGUGUGUGAAGAAGGCCCUAGGGUUGUAAAGCACUUUUAGUAGUGAGGAAGGCUCAGUAGUUAAUACCUACUGGGAUUGACGUUAGCUACAGAAAAAGCACCGGCUAAUUUCGUGCCAGCAGCCGCGGUAAUACGAAAGGUGCAAGCGUUAAUCGGAAUUACUGGGCGUAAAGCGCGCGUAGGCGGCUUGGUAAGUUGGAUGUGAAAGCCCCGGGCUCAACCUGGGAACUGCAUCCAAAACUGCCUAGCUAGAGUAUGGUAGAGGAUGGCGGAAUUUCCUGUGUAGCGGUGAAAU